UACCUUUUGUAAACAAAUGAAAAUCAUCUAAGUGUGUCACAGUUGGUCCUGUGACACUUGGGGGUUUCUUCCUUUUUUUUUCCCUGUGGUGUUCUGUGGCACGUGUGGGUGUGUCUUUCACUUGGCAGGGAGCUGAUCACCCGGCGAGGCUACACACCUGUUGCCAAUCCUCAUCUACACCUGGCCUUAAGAUGUGGAACUCCAUAAAACUCAUCGCCAGAUUACUCCUAGCCAUCGCAUGUUACCAAAUCCGGUGUGUUUUAGUCCUGCUUGGAGGAUCUUUAGGAGAGCUGAUUGCCACUGCCCAGGACGGCCUGCCCCUGCUCACAUCUCACCUACUACCACUCUGUACUACUAGUUCCUCAGUUCUUUGUAAAUAAACUCUUUACUUUAA